ACACCACUCGCCGCCCACUCCUCCCAGCCCCCCACGGUGGUCGCGCGACCGGGGGGGAAGAAGAGGGUCGUGCGCGCGGACUCUGCGUGUUCCGGGCGUUGUCACAAACGCCCGAGUGCACCGAACCUUGUGAACGAAACUUCUACUGCCUUGCCGCACAGAGUUGUUGACGGCGGUCCCCUCGGCGGCGACUCUCGACUCGUUUAUUGCUCCAAGUCUAUAUCGGUAGGGGUUAUUCCGGUUGUGCGCCUCUCCAAAAACCCCGCCACCGCGGGGGACGGAGGCGCCCCCAACUACUUUCG
rnacentral:misc_RNA from 1 species